rnacentral:rRNA from 1 species
AUACGUAGGGGGCGAGCGUUGUCCGGAAUUACUGGGCGUAAAGGGCGUGUAGGCGGUAUGGUAAGUCAGAUGUGAAAGUUCGGGGCUCAACCCCGAAAUUGCAUUUGAAACUGUCAUACUUGAGUACUGGAGAGGUAAGCGGAAUUCCUAGUGUAGCGGUGAAAUGCGUAGAGAUUAGGAGGAACACCAGUGGCGAAGGCGGCUUACUGGACAGAGACUGACGCUGAGACGCGAAAGCGUGGGGAGCGAACAGGAUUAGAUACCCUGGUAGUCCACGCUGUAAACGAUGAGUGCUAGGUGUUGGGGGAACUCAGUGCCGUAGUUAACACAAUAAGCACUCCGCCUGGGGAGUACGGUCGCAAGACUGAA